rnacentral:rRNA from 1 species
CGCUUCUUUUUCCACCGGAGCUUGCUCCACCGGAAAAAGAGGAGUGGCGAACGGGUGAGUAACACGUGGGUAACCUGCCCAUCAGAAGGGGAUAACACUUGGAAACAGGUGCUAAUACCGUAUAACAAUCGAAACCGCAUGGUUUUGAUUUGAAAGGCGCUUUCGGGUGUCGCUGAUGGAUGGACCCGCGGUGCAUUAGCUAGUUGGUGAGGUAACGGCUCACCAAGGCCACGAUGCAUAGCCGACCUGAGAGGGUGAUCGGCCACAUUGGGACUGAGACACGGCCCAAACUCCUACGGGAGGCAGCAGUAGGGAAUCUUCGGCAAUGGACGAAAGUCUGACCGAGCAACGCCGCGUGAGUGAAGAAGGUUUUCGGAUCGUAAAACUCUGUUGUUAGAGAAGAACAAGGAUGAGAGUAACUGUUCAUCCCUUGACGGUAUCUAACCAGAAAGCCACGGCUAACUACGUGCCAGCAGCCGCGGUAAUACGUAGGUGGCAAGCGUUGUCCGGAUUUAUUGGGCGUAAAGCGAGCGCAGGCGGUUUCUUAAGUCUGAUGUGAAAGCCCCCGGCUCAACCGGGGAGGGUCAUUGGAAACUGGGAGACUUGAGUGCAGAAGAGGAGAGUGGAAUUCCAUGUGUAGCGGUGAAAUGCGUAGAUAUAUGGAGGAACACCAGUGGCGAAGGCGGCUCUCUGGUCUGUAACUGACGCUGAGGCUCG